rnacentral:sRNA from 1 species
AUGACUGCACAAACUUGGGCCCCAAUAUAAGAGUAUCUUAGGACACAGUCCUACUUACUGACAUAGCAUAGAUCUUGUAUUGAAAGACUAUGGUUAAAAAAAUUUCUUGAUCAUUAGCCUACUAUUGACUAGUACAGUUUUAUAUAGCCUGGUUUAUAGCAUGUUUGAUCACGCCAACUUUGCCAAUAACCUAAAUAAGCAUUGCAAUAUGGAUAUUCCAAUAAUCUUGGCAAUCUGUGCUCAAAUGCAUAACUUGGAAACUUUAUUAAGAUUUUAUAUUUCUAUGAAAUCCAAUAUCUUUGGUUCUUGGCCAGUGGCCACAUGCUUUCACAAGUCUAUAGAUUAAAAAGUCUAUCUUCCAAGAUUUGAUCAUGAUAGACAAUUGACGGAGCAAUUCUUUGUUGCUUACAAAAUCACAAUGACAUGCAAACAGUUAUGUCUCACAUGAAAAUUUAGAAGAAAAAAAAUCACUCGAAUGAAUUGCAACCAAGAAAAUUUCACUUGAAACUAAUGUGAAGUAAAUUUUGUGUUGAAGUGCAUUUGAGAUGAUUUGGUAAUAUCUAGUGCAAAAAAUAUCAAAUGAAAUUCAUGUGAGAAAAUUUCAUGUGAAAGAUCUUCUCAUGCAAGGUCCAACUGGCUGUGAAAGUUAAUAAAACAAUCACUGACUGAACGUUAUCAAAAGCUGUGAAGAAAUGAUAUAUCUUGACAAUACCACCUUUGUUUUCCCAUACUGUAUACAGGGUAAUUUUCGCCCUUCUACACCUGCUAACAGUUUCGCACCUUCUGGAAUUCACCCAGACACAGUUGUGUUUAAAGAGAGAUAAUAUGAGACAUUGGAAUUAACACAGUCUUAAAUUCACCAGCUGACAAGGGCGCAGGGGCAAAAAUAAAAUGGGGGUGAAUAUUUCUCUGUUUACAGUAGAUACAUAACAAAAUGUACCAGAUCAUGGAAUACUUGUAUGUGGAAUAUUUUUCUUCGAUUGUUUAUGUGAUGGUGUGAAGCUAAUGCAAAUGUUACAUUCUAGGUCUCACAAUGUCAACUUUUCAAACAGGGAUAUAUGCAUUACUGCAUUUGAUUGUAUAUAUACAUCUCUGCUGAUAACAUUGUGCAAUAUAUUGGAUACUUGUGUACACGUAAUAAUUUGCAUAGAUUUGUAUAAUCACUUCCUUUUAGAUUAUAAUAAUUUACUAAUUGUCAAUUAUACCACAUUGAGUUAUAUAUAUGUAUAUGUAUUGUAAUUAUACACUAACACUUACAAUUGUGAUACUUGUGUACAUGUUUAUAUAGAACUCUUUGUAGAAUAACAUGAUUUUUUUUGUCUAAUUUCACAUAAAAUAUUUUACAACUCUCCUCCUAUUUAAAAUCAUCUGUAAAUGACUGUUUAUAGUUGUCUGGUGUCAUUAUAAUGGAUUUUU